rnacentral:lncRNA from 1 species
AACAGCCUGGCCCUCUGAUGUUCCCCAGCCUUGGCGCCACAGGAAUGAAAACUUCUGGAGGAAUGGAGCGUGUCAUUGCAAACCUGGGGCACUGCGGAAAUGCAAAUGGAGAAAUUGCAAAGGUCAUCACAAAGUCAGGCUUGCUGCAGAAGAUAGCACUGUGGGUGAACAGGAGAUACCCAAAGCUCCAGCUUCUGGACUGACUUACUCCAUUUGCUACCUUCUAUAAGAAGACUGAGGCUCAGAGAAGCAAAGCAGCCCAUCCAAGUUUCCCCAAUGAACAUGUUUAAAUGGAAGAGAGAGGAAUGAGAGAGGAAGGCAAGAAUACAAAUAUUUAAGAAAGCUUUAUUUUCCUGAAGCAAAGAAUGACACUUGAAACCGAGGGAAUCUCAAUGUCCACCUUGCAUUUCCAUGACCAGCAAGAGAGGGGAACCCCUACAGGAAUGUUCAUCCUCUGCCUCUGACCUGGGAAGUCUCAGUCAUCCCCGAGGACCAAUUCCAAAUGUCAAUUCAUUCACCACCAUUGCCCUUGUCAUUGCAUCCACUCCUCCUCUCUCUCUGACUUGUGUUAAUGGUAGGUAACUGUGUAUGAAUCUAGGCUGGGGGUUUGUCUUUGAGGUCAAGGACUAUUUCUGAUUCACUGUGUGUCUCCCUAAAUCCUUCUUCCACCCAGCAAAGAUGCUCAAAAUAUAUAUACAAAUGAUAGCCCUUUGUCCUGUACCUUUUCUGAGCUUUGGAAUGUCUCUCUGUACUGAUAGAGCAUCAUGCAACAGACCCAGCAGAGGAGGAAAUAGCUGUGAGAUUAUCUGCCCAUUAUAGCAGGAUUCAAAGAAAGCUGCUUUCAUGCCAGGAAGCCAGGGGAUCGUAGUAAACGGCUGUCUUUAACCAAAGACAGGGAUCUUCCACUAUUAGGAGGGAUCUUCCACUAUUGAAAGUUGAGACCCUGGGACCCCUGUCUCAUCUAUCUCUGCCAUCAGACCUGCCGCUUCUCACAUAGUUGCAUAUGGACAAGAUGCCUCAUUUUGGUGUGCACUGGGAGAUCUGGCCUAUCCAUGAAACUCUCUCCAUUGGUUGCCUGUUGAAAGGGCUCCCUACCAAUUUGGUCAUAACACAGACCAAAUUGAGGAGGUUAAAAGAGAUCAAGUGUCUGAACAUGGCUUCUUUGGACUCUAGGAGGAGUUGAUCAAGUGUCACUCCAGUGCAUAUACUGUUUUUAUGCACAGUAUGGAUUUGAACAUCCUGGUGAGUGAGUCCAUGUUAACAGUAUGUUCUCAAGCAGGAAUAUGCAGCUCUA